UACGGGGGGGACAAACGUUGUUCGGAUUUACUGGGCGUAAAGGGCGUGUAGGUGGACCUUUAAGUCGGUUGUGAAAUCCCGGGGCUUAACCCCGGGCCUGCAUUCGAUACUAUUGGUCUUGAGUGCGAGAGAGGAAAGCGGAAUUCCAGGUGUAGCGGUGGAAUGCGUAGAUAUCUGGAAGAACACCGGUGGCGAAGGCGGCUUUCUGGCUCGACACUGACACUGAGGCGCGAAGGCCGGGGGAGCAAACAGG
rnacentral:misc_RNA from 1 species